UUAAAAAAUCAAGCGCCAGGACCCUUGUCAGGAAUUACCGCAAGGUAGAUUUCCUUAAGGGUUGACGAGGAGGGGGUUAAUCGAACUUUCGGCGGGUGCCCCCCGGUUUCGGCCGAACCGUUAAAGGCAUGACAAAACCACCGGGCAACCGGUGGGACAAAAGUGCCGGCGGCCGGAA
rnacentral:ncRNA from 1 species